GACGAACGCUGGCGGCGUGCCUAAUACAUGCAAGUUGAGCGCUGAAGGUUGGUACUUGUACCAACUGGGUGAGCAGCGAACGGGUGAGUAACGCGUGGGGAAUCUGCCUUUGAGCGGGGGACAACAUUUGGAAACGAAUGCUAAUACCGCAUAAAAACUUUAAACACAAGUUUUAAGUUUGAAAGAUGCAAUUGCAUCACUCAAAGAUGAUCCCGCGUUGUAUUAGCUAGUUGGUGAGGUAAAGGCUCACCAAGGCGAUGCUACAUAGCCGACCUGAGAGGGUGAGCGGCCACAUUGGGACGGAGACACGGCCCAAACUGCUACGGGAGGGAGCAGGAGGGAAUCGUCGGCAAGGGACGAAAGUCUGACCGAGAAACGCCGAGGGAGGGAAGAAGGUUGUCGGAUCGGAAAACUCGGUUGGUAGAGAAGAACGUUGGUGAGAGUGGAAAGCUCAUCAAGUGACGGUAACUACUCAGAAAGGGACGGCUAACUACGUG
rnacentral:rRNA from 1 species